UGUGUUUCGGGGAAGAGUUUCCGGAUAUGGCCCCCUUGCGCUCCAAACUCAUUCUCGUGCAGAUUGAGCAGCUCUAUGUCCGGCAACUGGCAGAAGAGGCUGGGAAGAGCUGCAGAGCCGGCUCUGUGAUGCAGGCCCCCGAGGAGCCGCCGCCAGACCAGAUCUUCCGGAUGUUUCCAGAUAUUUGUGCCUCACACCAGAGACCGUUUUUCAGAGAAAACCAACAGAUCACCGUCUAAGUGCGUCGCUUGGGCGCCCCACCCCGGCUGUGUCCUGCAUCCAUCUCCCUGUUACAGUGGCCCGCAUCAUGAUUAAAGGAUGUGGAUCCCUCUCUCUGGGGUGGGAUGCCUUACUUUGCACUUAAUUUAGUAAGGGCAUUCUCGGAGGAGUAGAUGUUUAAUACAAAGUGUCGGCAUAGCCCUGCUGAGAUGUCAUUGAUGGCCUGGAUGCUGUAACCACAACCUGUGGCUAAAAAUUUUAUUUUCUACACUUUCCCCAUCAUUAUCAUUAGUUGCUAUGAUUCUUUCUGCAUUUUCGGUUAACUAUCAUUUCCAAAGACUUGUCAUUCAGUAAUGUUAGCAGAUAGCUGCUUCGAUAAAGGAAUUUGGAGUUUAAAAGUCAACUUGUAAAAACAAGGUUGUUUUUGUCUUUAUCUUUUGUUAGACUUACAGAUUUAUGAUUUCAUAGGCUUGUUUCUAUGUGAAAUAUCUUUUUACUUUUAUGCAUUUUAAUAAGAUUUAAAAAUAUUUAGAUAAAAACCCCCUUUAAUGAGUGCAAGAAAAACUCUUGGCUUGUUGGAAGAAACUAUAUUCUUUCUAGAAUUCGGUGCAGGAAUAUGUGUUCAUAUCCAGGCAAACGGGUGUGUUUUUAUCUUCAGACAAUGAACCCUUCUCCUCUCGGGCUUUGUUGCCAGGAAGAUUAGAACGAAAUUUAUUUUUUUCAUUUCUGUCAUGAAAUCAUUCCAGAUACCUCUUUUCUUCUUUCCAAAUGGUUUUCACAUGUCUUUAAAAUAUUUGUACUUUGAAUUGUCAGAUUUUCCAUGUCCUCCUUUCUCCUUUGCACCCAGCCUGAGUCAGCACCAUCCCACAUUCAGAACCUUCCAGUGAAAGGGCAGGAAGGGGCCUCACCUGUCAGCCUUCAUUUUGAGAAGGUGGAAGGUGUUAGGAUUUGGGAAACAGCUCAUCCAGUCUCCCAGGUCUCAUGAUGGAUUUGUGACCGUGAGAGUUUCCGGUUUAAAAUCUGAAAAGCCAGAAUACGCCCGUUUCCUUUUCCCAGCGUCACGCCUGUGGAGGGGACAGUCAGACCCAGAGGUCCUUUAGAUUUGGAUGAAUGCACAGGUGAAUAGAGGAGAAGACCAGAGGACGUGGCUUUUCCCUUUUGUCCAACAAAGCAUUAUAUUUUUAAGAAUGGCAGACCUGUUUGCUGAAGUGUUCAUAAGAUAACAAUAGGCUUGAAUCUCCAAUUCAAAUGAAUGUCAAAGCACAUAUCUUUAAUAUGCUGAAUGAAUAUUUAUUUUUGUAUCCAUUAAAACAGUAUAUUGAUCUCUUUUAUUCUUUAUUAAAAUGCUCUUUUUUAAA